GUAUGAAUUCACAUCACCCAGAAUGAGUUUAAUCUCAUCAGAUCUCGGAAGCUAAGCAAGCUUGAGCCUGGAUAGUGCUUGGUUGGGUGACCGCCAUGCACACCCGGCUGCCAUAGG
rnacentral:rRNA from 1 species